GGGGCCUAGAGGAAUGCUCAUUCAGAUCCCAUCGAAAGGCGUUGGUUGCUCUAGACAGCAGGACGGUGGCCAUGGAAGUCGGAAUCCGCUAAGGAGUGUGUAACAACUCACCUGCCGAAGCAACUAGCCCUUAAAAUGGUAUGGCGCUGAAGCAUUCUCCCGAUACUCGACCGCCGGGGCAUUAGCGGCCACAUCAUCGUCGUCGUCGUCGUCGACUUUGAGGAGGAGGCGGCGGCGGCGGCGAGGAGGUCUCGAUGAAGCCCCGGUGAGUAAGAGGGUCGCAGUGGUGAGCGCUGAAGGGAUCCGGCGUGAGCCGGCCUGGAGCCACCACUGGUGCAGAUCUUGGUGGUAGUAGCAAAUACUCGAGAGAGACUCCCUUGAAGACCGAUGUGGAGAAGGGUUCCAUGUGAACAUCAGUUGGACAUGGGUUAGUCGCUCCUAAGCCCAAGGCUAAGGCCUGAUCCCACGCUAGCGGC
rnacentral:rRNA from 1 species